UACGUAGGGCGCGAGCGUUGUCCGGAAUUAUUGGGCGUAAAGAGCUCGUAGGCGGUCUGUCACGUCGGCUGUGAAAUCCCGAGGCUCAACCUCGGGUCUGCAGUCGAUACGGGCAAACUAGAGUAUUGCAGGGGAGACUGGAAUUCCUGGUGUAGCGGUGAAAUGCGCAGAUAUCAGGAGGAACACCGGUGGCGAAGGCGGGUCUCUGGGCAAUAACUGACGCUGAGGAGCGAAAGUGUGGGGAGCGAACAGG
rnacentral:rRNA from 1 species